GCGCUCACGUCAGCAGCGUAUGUACUAAAAUUGGAACAAUACAAUGAAGAUUAGCGUGGUGUCUGCACAAGGAUUACACGAAAGUCAUGAAGUGUUCCAUUAAAAA
ensembl:snRNA U6 U6 spliceosomal RNA